CAGGUGCGGCGGGCAGCUCCGGCAGCUCAGACGGCCCGAGCGUCUCUCCGGACUGAAGUGGGCACUUGCAGAGCCAAAAGUAGGGAGGGCGCAGAAUCUGUGAGGCGCGCGGGGGCCUCGGGAACUUUCGUCCGACUAGUGCGGCGGCGAGAGCCGAGCGACUGAGGAGGCUCCGCGGGGCCGCGGGCGGUCCGAGCGUUUACGGAGCUGCGCCCUCGGCCCCUCGCCUAGCUGGCGACGGCAGCGGCCCGCUGAGCGGACACCUCCAACUCGGCCGCGUCUGCGCCGCGCUUCGGCCUCGGCAACCGCUUCCCAGGCAUCUCUGAGGCCGCACUCAGUCCCCCAAGCACUUUGCUCCCCAUUUCGCGGCAGCAGCGUCCAGCGUUUUAGGGCUAGUCAGCUCCCGACAGAGCUACCCGCCGACUUCUCCACAUUUCCGCCGCCGGAGGGAGCGAGUCCUGUGGGCAAGCGCUCCGGGUCCGGGGCGAGCUUGGUGGCGGCGGACCAGCCUGACCGCUCCUCAGCGCGGGUCGCCCAAACUUGCCCAGUAGGGCGAGAGCCUCCGCUUUGCGGCCGCCUCCGCUCCUCCUCCCAGAAGAGAGCGGAGGAAGGGAGCAGGCAGCAGAGGAGAGUCACAUCAGGCUGAAUAGGGGCGGGUGCCUUUCGCCAGCGCUCAGCGAGGUCUUGUCCUCGCUGUGCGGCCGUGACUUCGCAGUGGAGGUCACGAGCCUUGUCGCAGCCGAGGGCGCUGGGAUUCCGGGGGCCCGGAGCGCCUGCAGCGUGGCGGCGUCCGACUGAGCGCUCGGAGCGGUCCGCGGGGCUGAGCUGUGCCUGGCCACAUCCACAGCGGCGCCGAGUGCCUGCAAGCGGACAGCUUUCCCCGCACAAGCCGCCCCCUCGCGGCACCCACUCCCUCCCAGCACUCGGGUCGGUGGGAAGCCGCGGCGCCGGCGGUCUGGUGUUCUCUCGCCCUCGGGGUUGGGGGAGGGGGGCCACACAGGUGCUAACAGGGAGGGGUCUCGGCGCAGGUGGCCCUCACACUCGCGGCCGAGGCGGGCGCAGAGGGCAGGGCCCGAGCCGCGAGCGCAGCCGAGCUCUGCCAAGCCCGGCUUUCUGGCCUCCGCCGCUCGGAUGCUGCCAGUUCGGCGCUAGAGGGGGUUAGUCAACAACAAAAAUGCCUGCGUUGCCAGCCGGUGGGAGAGGCUUAUCACGCGAGGCCCCGCAAGGAAGGAGGAAUGCUCUCCGGCUAAACUUAACGCGUGGGUGAAGGGCGCGCCAGGGAACCCGUAUCACCAGUGUGGGGCUUCUGUAAUACUUUACUCGCUGUUGUUAUUAUCGUCAUUUUCUUUCUUGAAGGAACUUAGGGUAUCACGGUCGUGUGAGGUCCAAAAGCCCCCCUCAAAACUCAUCCGGAUGUUUUGAAGAAGUAUUUAUGGCAAUGGGGAAAAGUGAACCGAGAAGAGAAAACAGCGGUAUUAUAAAGCGUAGAGGAUAUUUUCCUUCUAUAGGGCAGAGGCAGGGAAAUGGCACAGUGGCGGGAUUUGGGAAAGUAGUAAAUGAAGGAGCAAGGGUCGGCCUUCGACGCUUACAGAGUUCUGGGGGAGAAAGCAGCUUUCCACUCGACGCGUUUCAGCGCUGCUAUGUUUGUCACAUAUAUUUGAAGUGGUUUCGGUUAUUGCAUUAUAGUCAGUUGGACGCUGAUAGAAGGCGAGCAAAAGAUGCCCCACGUCUCAGUCGGCUGCAAGGAGAGAAAUGUGAAAUGCAAAUGAUCUUGAGACUGUGAGGAAGGAAGGUUUCCUAUUGGUGACUGUACUUCCACUUUCAUUAGGAAUUCAAACACUGCCUCUCUUUAAAGGUGUCCACGCUAAUUUAAAUGAUGCAAAUCACUUAUGGAAGGAUAACCAAGUAUGGAGUUUAUAUAUUAGUACUUAAAGGAGUAAAAUCUGAUUUUGCUACUGAUAUUACCACUCUGAUAUUGACUGGUCAAUAUCAUUUGCGAUAUGCAUUUGCAAACAGUUUACAAUUUAUAAACUGUAAAAUUAAAAGACUACGUUAUAAUAUAAAUCAUUAUGCUUGAAUAAAUGGCCUUGAAAGCGUUUGAUGAUUCAAUAUACUCGUUUUGAUUCAAAAUAAUCUUUUUAUUUACUGUCAAAGAAUAUAUUUUCAUGACCUUUUUAUAAUUAAAGUUGAAUUCCUUAUGGUUAAAUGUUUAAAUUCACUUACAGUGAAUAGUUUUAUAGAUGUCAUUAACAACUCACCAAGAGAAAAAUUUUGGCCAAAGAAGACACUCCUUAUAAAUGCCUAAAAUAUGCUAUAUUCUGAUAAACUGAAGGAAUGUAUAAUACUGUUUAUUAACUUAGAAAUGUAAACUAUGUUACUCUAUUUCUAAACUUCUAGUUUUUAAAUUAACUAAACUUACAAGAUUUUUUAAAUGGAAUACCACUAAAAAGAAGUUGUUUCCUCAAAAACCCCAGAGUAAAACUAUUUUAAUAUCAAAGUUUUAACUUAAAUCCUGAUAUUUUGCCUGAGUGUUAUUUCUUAGAGACUAUUUUAUAAAGAGAACACCAAGAAGAUUCUUUUAAAAUUAGGCUAGAAGGAAAUGGCUCUGAUGAAUGGAAGGAAGGAAGGAAGGAAAGAAGGAAAGAAGGAAGAGGGAAGAGAGAAUAAAAAGAAAGAAAGGCUAAGAUUUAUUUCUAGGAUUCACACUUUUUUCCAAAUCAUUGUACAAUAUUUCCAAUUAUGGUACAAUUUCCAAAUUAUGGUACAAUAUCAUGGUACGAAUAAACUGGUAUUUACUUCAGAGUAACAAUAAGAGCUGAUUAACCUGGAUUUCUGUCCUCACCCUUACCUAAAAAUUUACCUAGAAUUCACAAUUUUUGUUUGUUUGAAUAAAUCAUAGUCAAGCAUGACAUAAUAUAUUACUUACCUGGUCAGAUAACCGAAAGUCAUAAUCUGAUUUUGGUUUUCAAGAAAACAAUUAAUUACAUGAUUUUUGUAAAUAUUAAAACAUGCUUCAUGUAUUUAGACACUGUUUAUCUGCAUAUCUAGAAUAUAAUGGCCUUUUAAAAACAUCUCAAAGAAGAUGAAUUGAAAUUUUAAUGUAAUUUUCUUGACCUUUGACUAGAGUGAGAUUCCAUGGGUUUGACAUGAUUAUCAAUUUCAAAACAUGAUUUUAAAUAGAAUUACCAUAACCAUUUGACCAUUUGGUAUACAUUUUAUAUUUAUGUAUACACAUAUAUACAUAAUGUGUAUAUGUAUAUUCAUUCUAAAAUAUUUGUUGAGGUCUUAUAAGUGCUCAGUUCUCUUCACUGAGAAGAGUUAAUGGUAAUGUGAGUAAAAAUAAUUUGUUUUUUAAAAGUAACUUUUUGUUUCAAAUAUAGUCAUGGUUAUCUUAUGUGAGCUAGAAGCAACUGCAUGUAACAGAAAUGUACUUCCUUCUUGAUUUUCUAGCAGUGUUGAUAUAUUUGCUGAUGUGACAGUUUCAAAAUUAUAAGCCACUCAAUGAACCAGAUGCAAUAUUCAUGUAGAUUCAUCUGCACUUGUCUGUUUGAAUCAUACCUAUAUUCAGAAAAGCAUUCAUGUCUCAUUUUUCAGUACUAUAUUGUUCAGAAUUCUCCUGUAUUCUCUCAGACCAUUGUUCUUCAUGAUAUACGUGGUCUGGAUUCAGGUCAAGAUAGAAGCAACAUGAGUAAAAAGAAUAUUGAUCUCAGAAAUAUCACAGAAGUGUUGAGGAAACGUCAUCAGAUAAACCCAAAUUGAGGGAUCAUUCUACAAAAUAACUAGUCUAUAAUCUUCAAAAGUGCCAAGGUCAUGAAAGUGAAAGAAGACAGGAACUCUUCCAGACUGAAGGAGACUAAGGAGACGUGACAACUAAUUUCAAUAUGUGAUUCUGGAUUUGAUCCUUUUGUUGUAAAGAACAUUUUUGGAACAACUGAGAAAGUUUGAAUGGGGUCUAAGGGGUUAGAACUGUAACUGUACUGUAUGUUAAUUUCUGAAUUUUGGUAGUUGAGUUGUACAGAAUGUCCUUGUUUGCAGAAAACAUACACUAAAGCAUUUGGUGAUGACUUACUCUCAAAUGAUUCAGGAAAAAAAUGUCAUUUGUGUUGUACUUGAAACUUUUCUAUAAUUCUGAGUUGGUUCAAAAUAAAAUAU